rnacentral:pre_miRNA from 1 species
CUAUCUCAAGUUUGUAUGAAAUUGGGAAGUUGCCUACGUUUGCCGCUAGGGGCGCUGUUCCAAAUCCAUACAAAUUCAAGUUA